rnacentral:rRNA from 1 species
UACGAAGGGGGCUAGCGUUGCUCGGAAUUACUGGGCGUAAAGCGCACGUAGGCGGAUUGUUAAGUCGGGGGUGAAAUCCUGGAGCUCAACUCCAGAACUGCCUUCGAUACUGGCGAUCUCGAGUUCGGGAGAGGUGAGUGGAACUGCGAGUGUAGAGGUGAAAUUCGUAGAUAUUCACAAGAACACCAGUGGCGAAGGCGGCUCACUGGCCCGAUACUGACGCUGAGGUGCGAAAGCGUGGGGAGCAAACAGG